UCCUAGGUGGCUUAGUGGUAAAGAAUCUGCCUGCAGUGCAGGAGACGCAAGUUCGAUACCUGUGUUGGGAA
rfam:TPA: Bos taurus chromosome 13, whole genome shotgun sequence.